CAGCGUCGCCGCCUGAGCGCCCCCCCAGGCUGCGCUGGACGCGUGUGUCUUAGAGAGGCUCACCCUCAAGCACGACUACCGGC
rnacentral:pre_miRNA from 1 species